ACAGAAUGCAGAAGAUGGGCUGAUCUGCAGGGACUUUGGAUGUUAGGGAUUCAUUUCCUAAGUGGUUGUACAGUGCGUUUAUACAGGAGCAGGAUUUCACAAGUUUGUGUGGAAAUCUGAUUAUUGCCAAUAACAGUGCUUGUAAAUAGG